UUUUUUUUUUUUUUGCCUGGGCUUGGAUCCUUGCGCAUGGAAAUGCCUCGUGUCAGUGUCACAGUCUCCUAGUCUUUCUUUCCAGGACCAGAAGGAAGGCCCCACCCCACCCCACACGAAUUUAUCCAUCCUGUUAUUAUCGAUCUGUUUGGCCACCAAGUCGUAGUAGUUCAGAUCGCCUCCACCGACACACGAGGCGUAGUAGUGUUCAUCGGGACUGGUUGGUUCGUUUUUUUGUGGUCAGUUUUUUGAGCUUUUUUUAGAAUGCAGUUGUGUAGAGAAUCUGCUUAUGAGAAAAAUAUGAGUAUGGUGAGAAUUAUGUACGGAAGAAGAUUAAGUGGUCUAAAAAGUUCAGGAUCUAGAAAACGACAGUUUUUAACUAUCGUGACGACUCGAUCUAUUCUAUAUUUAUGUUGAUUUUAGACAUUUUUUACGAAAACGAUUUUUAUAGAAACGGACUAAAAAGAUACAGAGUUUCGGGUCUACAUUUUCUAUAUUACAAAGCCGGUUAGAAACGGCGUUGAUUAAGGUAUCCACGUCACCUCAUUUGAUAUCAGCCGUAUGAUCUAGAUCUACUGGACGCGAGCCAUCCUGCCUCCACCCUGCCGCCAGCCGCCUCCACAUAAAUAAUUUUUUCCUGAAUCUCCAUACUACCGGAGUCUUCCAGUGGCUUCCUCCUCCCCAAAUUCCUCUCCUCGUGACCUCGUGUCCUCCCUCGCUACCACGCUUGGGUGAAAUGCCCUCGCCGCCUCUCCCCGUGCUCGCCCAAAUCGCCGCCUCUCCCUCCCUGUCGCCCCUGCGCCACGGUGCUUCACGCCGUUGAAGUCACUUCACUCAUCCCACCGAUGCUGUCGCCCACACCGCCUCCUCCCCUCCUCCGCUCAAGCCGCACCGCGACAGCUACACGCCGCGAUGUCAGCUGCCAGCAGCGCCCCCCUCUUAACAACGUCGCGACGUCCUCGUGGGCUAAACCCCCUCCAUCACUUCUUCCCGUCGAGAUGCACAACACCGCGAGAUCCAUCCACCUUCUCCAGCACCCUCACCCCCACUCAAAUGGUGUCGCGAUGUCCGCCACCAACAGCGCCCCUUCCCCCCUCUCAAACAACGUCGCGACGUCUACGAGUUCUGUAAGGAAUGAUGAAUAACUCCCAGUCGUGAUUAUUCUUCUUCAGCCUUCUAUCCUUCCGAGUUCUUUUUGGUGCAGGUGCAUGUGGGGUCAUCUUGGCACGAUGUGCGGCCAUCGAUGAAGUAGCCGCUACCUUCCCACAACGUCACUAUCCGCCUCCUGUGUCUGCCAGUAACCCCACCCCUCCUCAAACAUCAUACUAAUGGUCAUGAUCAGGCAUGUCGUCUAAAAAAUUUUAGCAGACAUUUUAAUCCAAAAAUCAUAAUUCAAAACACAAAGAAAUGAGAAAUUUAGAAUUAUGCCAUUAUAGAAACUGGACUUCAUCCAAAUGUCGUCAUGUGAGAAUGGUUUUCGCUAAUACACCAUUCUCAAACGUGAUCUUCCCUACAAAAUAAAAUUUAGUAGUUAUUUAGUAGUCAUAAUUAUUUUACCCCUGCACCAAAUCCUCGGUACUUCCAUUUGGUUGAGUGUGUGCUAAAUUUCCUUAAAUCUCACAUGUGUGCACCUGCCUAGAUUGUGGCAGUCGGGUGAUUGAGCUUUAACCUUGAAGUCCUAGGAUAAUGGUAGCAAACCUUUCUUCAAGUGUAUUAGAAAUGAAUGAAAAACGUGUAAGUAUUGCAUCUGUCAGCCUUCAUGUUAUAUUUUUCCCAAUAAGUGUCAUUUCUUUAGCCCUAUUUAAUAGUGCUUUAUCUACGCUGUUGUCUGUCAUUUUACGUACCUGUUAGGGACUUGUUCUCAAAUGCUAUGAGUUAAGAACAAGGCAACAUAGAAAAAUAUUAAUCGUUAAAGUCCUUCGUCCUUCGAAGCAUUAUUCCUCUCAGGAUAUAAUGAUUUUCGGACGAAGGUUAUGAAGGGUGUACCUUCAUAAAUACAAUGACGGAGGAUGGAUUAUAAGGAAUAUAAAGAAUAUCAUAGACAAUUGCACAUUAUUAUUAUUAAUUUAUCUUUGCAUUAUUAUUAUGUAAAAACAGAAAUAACAUUGAAUUACAAAUGUACCUUCAGCUUGAAGGAGAUGAAAGUACAAGCGUGACGCAAAAGCGAUUGUCAGAUCAGCGUGAACAGUACGGGGGUACUGUUCACCUAUUUAUAGGCACAGGACACAACCCAUACAAAAUUACAUUUAUGCCCUUUACAUUUGAUAAUAAUUCUAUAGUAAUCUAUCGAGGUCUGAAUAGCCUUUUCAUCUUUAAGUCGGUUUCAUUUGUUGCUACCACGCCGAAGCUUCCCGGUUCACACCUUCGGCGCUGUAUCAACCUUCGUAUUAUUCUGGUCUGCUGUGACACCGACUUGAGUCCGAAGAUACCUGUUCACACAUUAUACUCCAGCAAUACUGUUAAAUCCUGUUUUUGAGGACCUUCGUAAGCCGAAGGCCCCCAACAGUAGCCCCUCGCAAUGUUAAUUUGUUAAAUCAAUAAAUUCAGAUUGCGACAUGGACGAAGGCUUUAAGCCGAAGGUCCGAAAAAACACCUUCCCUUUGCUAGAAUAGCAAUCAUUCACUGACAGGCGGGGUCUUUCAAUUUUGAACGCACUGGGCGUAUAUAUAUAUGAUCAUACCGCAAGCUCAUUUGGCACGCUCUCUUGCCACCUGCUCCUGCUCACUCAAUUUUUAGCUUUCGCGCACCAAGAUUUGCUUAGCUUUUAAGUUUUUAAGCUUCGGCACUGAAAACAAUUUUUUAGUGCGUCCGAAGAUGUCUGAAGAUAAGAAGGCUGCUCCCGAGAUGAAGCUUAGUCUCUCUGAAGAGAAGAACCUGGGGUUUCUUAUAGCAAUGUCGAAGACUAAUACAGAAAAAAUCACCAAAGAAAUUUUAGAAGGUUUAUCUGAAGAUACUGAUGACAACGAUAGUUAUGAUGUGGACAGUGGUGGUGAAGACUCCGAAGAUCGCCCCUGGCGACCAAGCCAUUCAUUUUUUGGCAAGUCAGUUAUCAAAGAAAAUCAUCUUGCCAACAUGAGGGGAAGAUACUUCCGGGAUUUAUCCAUUGUGAGGGUCGACGAAGGAGAGAAAACUUGCCCGAUCCCUGAGGAAAAUGAAGUCGUAGUGUUCCGAAGCUUUUUGAAAGCUGGACUACGAUUUCCCCUGAGCAACUUUGUUGUAGAGGUGCUGAAAAUAUUCGAAGUCUACCUUCACCAACUUACCCCCGAAGCAAUCAUAAGGCUGAAUAUCUUCGUGUGGGCCGUGAGAAGCCAAGGUCUGGAGCCUGAUGCAAAAAGUUUCUGUAAUAUACACGAAUUAUCAUACGAAACAAAACCUUGGGGUAAGGAACAGUAUCACAAUAAUUUUGGCUGCUACAGUUUCGUUUCUCGAUCUGGGUCAAGCUGUCCCGUGCCAACCUUUCGGAAGAGAUGGCCUGGCGACUGGAUGACAGAAUGGUUUUAUGUGAAGAAUGACCUGACAGUGCGGGAAGAUAUCAAAGGUAUAAUCAUGCGCCCUAUUUGGCAAAGCUUUGGCCUGCGGAGGCCGAAGGUUGAAAUGAAUGAAGCUGCCGAAGAAUGCCAAAGAGCCUUCGGAGUUAUCUGUUCUUUCAUUGGAACGAGAGAUUUGGUUCAAGAGCACAUUGCCUUCAGAGUAUGGCCGCUCGCAGAAAAAUGGGACAUGCCACAAGAAACCAUAAGGGAGGCCGACGAAGGUGGACUUAUCAGGCUGAAGUAUACUUUUAAGUUCGGAGAUAAAUUCGUUGAGUCAGAUGAUGACUGGUUAAAAAGCAUUGAAAAUUUAAGUGAUGAACUGCUCGGGACUUAUACGAAGGCCGAAGAUACUGCACUGUCAGCAGCCUUCGGAGGCCGAAAAAAGAAGAGGCUGAAUUGGGUGUUUGAUGCAAUCGGGUUCGUCUACCCUGACUAUCGUUAUCCCAUUCGAGGGCAGAAAAGAAAAAAUACAACCUCUGCGAAAGAAGAAGUUGCAACUGCUCCUAGCGAGCCAGAACCGAAAAGAAAGAAGAUAAAAGUCCUCACACAUCGGCUGCGCUAUAUUGAACUAGCUUCGGUGCCUGAGUUCACCGGAGAGACUCCUUUGGCCACCGAAGCCGAAAAGCCAAUCAAGCCAACCGUGCUGCCAGAAGUCGCAGAAAUGGCCGAAGCGCCAACAAGGAUAGAAUUGAAAGAACCGAAGAUUUUGUUACCAGAAACAAAAAAGAUGGCCGAAGCGCCAUCCACAGAAAAAAUGGAAAAAGUGAAAAAACCAACUGAGGAAAAAACAUCAGAAGUUUUUAGUCCUGCAGCAAAUGUUGAGACAGUAAAAAAUCAAAAGGUGCCAGCAGUGACUCCAAAAAGAAAGAGAAUGGCUAAUGUGCUAGAUGUUCUGGAAACAAUUAAAUCUUCAAGCACACCUCCGAAGAAGACUGUUGCCGUUCCCGAAGCGAAAAUUGAAAUCUCUGAUACAAAGGUUCCAGAGCAAGAAACUGAAGCUGAAGCUGGGCCCUCAGAGCCCACGAAGGUAAAAUCCUUAGAAACCGAGGAAGAAAGAAUAACAGAGCAAAUUCUUGUUGAAGAAAUCAAUGCUAUUGCCCCCGAAGCAUCCCCCAAAGUCCUUGAUUAUAUUGUUCGACAUGCUUCGGGGAAAAAAUUAUCAGAGAAAGAAAGGCAAGAAGCCCAGCUUUACGCCCAAAAACUGAAGUAUCCAAAGGGGGCGUUGAUAUUCAAUGGCAGCGGAGAAGAAGACUUCUUGUACUGUCUCCCGGACAGCAAGGAGAUUUCUGUCUGCCGGGAGAUGAGCAAGAGCUUCGGAUUCCCAACAUUAGAAGACGGACUCUCGGUGCUGUCGAAAGACGAGUUGGCCGACAGCUUGGCAUACAAUAGUUUAAAGGUACAAAAAAAUUUUAGACCUUCGUAUUUUUGUUGAGAUCAAAAAUUUUCCGUUUGCUUAAAUCUAUUGACGCACACGCAUUUUUCUCUGCAGGGCCUUAUACUUAGCAAUGCCCUCAGGGCCCAAAAAGAUGCCGAAGACGAAGGGUGCGCUAUAGCCCUGAGCAACCUUCGUUCCGAAGUAAUUGAGCUAAGGAACGAAGGUCUCGAAAAAGAUAAAAUAUUACACUCAUUGAUAAAUAGGAUAAAAGAAGACGAAGCUACCUUCAAAAAUCAAGCUGAAGCUCAGAAACUUGAAAUCGAAGAUCUUCGAAGACAACUGGCCAGAGCCAAAGAGGAACGUAUGCUUGAAGAAACAAAACAAGAAAUUAGCGACCAAUGGGCAAAUCAUUUAGAGGGAACUGUUGAAGAGUUUUGUUCGUCCAAGAAAAGAUGUUAUAAUAAAUCUAUGGAGUGUGUAAAGAAGUUGAAAACUAGCUUCGCCAGUGUUGGCGCAUUUUCAAGUGAAGAAAACUUUACGAGAGGCAACCCCGAAGGCCCUAUUGAAUGGAUUAGCCACGAAGCUGAGGCCUUCGAAGAAAUUUUAAAUAGCCGUGGAGAUAUAUGUGCUUUUUCGGGUGCUAGGGGAAUUGCUACCAUUUUGGAGAAAAAGGGCUGUGAACAUGUAAAGAUUUUGGCGCGAUCCGAAGCCACCCUGCUCUCCGAAGAUGCAAAGGAUCCUUCGGCCGAAGCUAGCAUGGUUGGUGGAAAAUUUUUCACCGAUAUCUGGGACAACGGUGGCCGAGAAAUGGCCCGAGAAAUUAUCCAAAGAAGCGAAAAAGGCAUUCAUGACGCUAGAAGAGUAGCAGAGGCUGCUGAGAAGAGCGCAGAGCCCGAAGGGCAAAUAGGUAUUAACUAGUGGUUUUUAUUGUGUUGUAAUUUUUAAUUUUUAACUUCGUUCGCAACUUGUAAUAGCAAUGUGGCCAUAUCCUAUCCUCCCUCAGAUCCUACUAAAGCGUCUCCUGGUCCUUCCCUGAAAGAUGACGAUGAAAUUAAAAAGAUGGCUGAAGCUAUCAUGGAUCAAGUUGUCGAUCGACUCCUGAACGAAGCUGCAGAAGUAGUACUUAGAGAAGACUGAGUGCUACUGUAAAAACUUCUGAAAUGUAAUAUGUGUAAUAUCUUGUAACCUUGAAUGUAAUAAACUUGUUUUUUAUGAUUUAAUUCUUUACGAUGCAUGAAAUCUUACAUAUAUACCGUUUUUGAGUCUGACGAAAAAAUACCUUCCCUUCUUUUCAUGCUUCGUGAAGAAGAAUUUUCAUUUAUCGCAACAAUACCCAGUGUUCUGAUGAAGAUCAUCCAAACUUCGUGAAAAAAUUUUCCGAAGCUGCAUUCCGAAAAUCAAUAUUGUAUCCCCUUCUUUGUGCUCUAUGCAGAAUGAUGUAUGAUGCUUAUGCUAUGCAAAAUGAUGUGAUGAUGUUAUGCUAUGAGAAAAAGGUAUUCGUUCCGAAGCUUCACACACACAUCCCUGCAAUAAAAUACAUAAUCUUUUUUGUAUCAGCGUUGACUUUUCGCUGUAAGCUCUGCAUUUCCUUAGGAACGUCUUUGGAGCUUCUUCGCCUUUUACUUUCGGCGGAAUCAGCGUUGACUUUUCGCUGUAAGCUCUGCAUUCCCUUAGGAACGUCUUUGGAGCUUCUUCGCCUUUUACUUUUGGCGGAAUGAGCGUUGACUUUUCGCUGUAAGCUCUGCAUUCCCUUAGGAACGACUUUGGAGCAAAAAACUUACACUGCGUUCUUUUUAGAACGACUUUUUAUUGCUUCGUAGAAUUCAUACCGUGUCUAUUGUAAAUUAAUUAUCCGAAGGUCCUCUUUGCUAUUGCAAAUUUUCGAGCUUUGACAACUUAAGCCUGUGUAGAAGAUAUGUUUUCCUUGCGGCAGACAACAAAACUUAUUACUUGAAAUUUAAAAAGUGUCCUUUACUAUACAGAAAAUAAAACUGAAUGGAAAAGACUGCUAUCGAGGUAGGAUAUUUGUCAAUAGAUAUGCUUCGACUCUGGCACAGUGCUAUUGACUGUGCGAGCUUCGGAUUGUUCUCUGAAGUCCCUUUGAUGUGGAGCAUAUUGGCCCCCUUCUGGCUGUUGUCCUUGUUGCAGCGGUGGUGGAGGCGGAGGCUGUUGCCAGGAAGCUUGAGGUUGACUCGCCGAAGCAACAGAAACUGCAGGGUGGUUGCCUACAUAUUCUGGGAUGUAAGGCGAAUGGUACGAAGCAGUAUGCAUGACCUGCUUCGGCUGAGCUUGUUGUGCUGCAGCUUCGGCUAUCUCCUUUUGCUUCUGGAUGGUAACAUGGCACAUCCUGGUAGUAUGGCCCUUGUUUUCACCACAGAAUAAGCAAAAGAUUCUUCUCGGUUGAUCACCAAAUCUUCCGCCGAAGCCCCUGGCGCCUCUGCCUCUCGGAGCUGGUGGUCGGAAGGAGCUUUGCUGUUGCCCCGAAGCUUGUGAGGAACACUGUGGCCUUUGCUGUUGGCUCCCUCUAUCAUCAUUUUGGGUAGAGUUAUGAAUUGAUCUAACGUGCCUCGGAUAGAACCUCCCUCCGAAGCCCCUGGUCAUUUCAGAAAACCUGAAAGCCUCCUCCCUUCUUUGGCGAAAAUCAUUGUCGGCACGGAUAUACUCGUCCAUCUUCUGAAGCAGCUUCUCCAAAGUUUGAGGAGGCUUCCUAGCAAAAUACUGAGCUGAAGGUCCAGGCCGAAGUCCCUUGAUCAUGGCCUCAAUAACAAUUUCGUUGGGCACCGUUGGCGCCUGUGCCCUCAAACGCAAGAACCUCCGGACAUACGCCUGAAGGUAUUCUUCGUGAUCCUGUGUGCACUGGAACAGGGCCUGAGCAGUGACCGGCUUCGUCUGAAACCCUUGGAAGCUGGUUAACAACAUGUCCUUGAGCUUUUGCCAUGAGGUAAUCGUUCCUGGUCGAAGGGAGGAAUACCAGGUUUGAGCAACACUCCUGACGGCCAUAACAAAAGAUUUGGCCAUGACUGCAGCAUUGCCACUAUACGAAGAUACUGUUGCUUCGUAGCUCAUCAAAAACUGCUUCGGAUCUGAAUGACCAUCGAAUAUGGGAAGCUGAGGCGGCUUGUAGGACGGAGGCCAAGGUGUAGCCUGCAGCUCAGCGGACAGAGGAGAAGCAUCAUCAAAAACAAAAUUUCCAUGAUGGAAAUUGUCAUACCAGUCAUCUUCGUUGAGAAAACCCUCCUGAUGAAAGUCUUAGUGUUGAGGCCUUCGGUGUUGCUCAUCCUGAGUAAGAUGACGAACUUCUUCAGAGGCUUCGUCUAUCUGCCUUUGCAGUUCAGCUAGUCUGGCCAUCUUUUCUUUCUUCCUCUGCACCUGUUGAUGAAGUAUCUCCAUGUCUCUGAUUUCUUGGUCUAUCUCAUCCUCUGGCGGUGUCGGGCUAACAGCCUUCCUUUUCUGGCUUCGGGCCUCCUGAAGGGAGACAGUCUCCUGAUUGUGGUCCAGCGGUUGCAGAGCUGCAGCCCCAGUUGCUGAAGCUUUCUUCGGCGCCAUAGCGAAGGUUUAUGAUCGCCGAAGGUGUUCAAAAACUCAAAAGAGUGGAAGUGAGUUCACCGGAGGUGGGCGCCAAUGUUGGGGACUUGUUCUCAAAUGCUAUGAGUUAAGAACAAGGCAACAUAGAAAAAUGUUAAUCGUUAAAGUCCUUCGUCCUUCGAAGCAUUAUUCCUCUCAGGAUAUAAUGAUUUUCGGACGAAGGUUAUGAAGGGUGUACCUUCAUAAAUACAAUGACGGAGGAUGGAUUAUAAGGAAUAUAAAGAAUAUCAUAGACAAUUGCACAUUAUUAUUAUUAAUUUAUCUUUGCAUUAUUAUUAUGUAAAAACAGAAAUAACAUUGAAUUACAAAUGUACCUUCAGCUUGAAAGAGAUGAAAGUACAAGCGUGACGCAAAAGCGAUUGUCAGAUCAGCGUGAACAGUACGGGGGUACUGUUCACCUAUUUAUAGGCACAGGACACAACCCAUACAAAAUUACAUUUAUGCCCUUUACAUUUGAUAAUAAUUCUAUAGUAAUCUAUCGAGGUCUGAAUAGCCUUUUCAUCUUUAAGUCGGUUUCAUUUGUUGCUACCACGCCGAAGCUUCCCGGUUCACACCUUCGGCGCUGUAUCAACCUUCGUAUUAUUCUGGUCUGCUGUGACACCGACUUGAGUCCGAAGAUACCUGUUCACACAUUAUACUCCAGCAAUACUGUUAAAUCCUGUUUUUGAGGACCUUCGUAAGCCGAAGGCCCCCAACAGUACCUUUACUCAUUACUGUUCUGAAUUAAUUUGUGUACAUUCAUUCCAAAUACGUAUUUACAUACAUGGACAUCUACAUGGUGUUCAAUAGAACAUGAGUGAAUCGCUACAAUUAGCCAAAGAACAUGAAAAACAAGAUACAUGUUUUAUUUUUUUAUUGAGAGAGGCAUACCUUCU
rnacentral:lncRNA from 1 species